rnacentral:lncRNA from 1 species
UCCAACUAAGUAUUUAAAAUGAGCACGACUCUUAUCCACUAAGUGUACAUGUUUAAAAUGAGCAGGAUUCUUAGUGAGUCUCAUCUAUAAGUAUAUGGUAUGUACGUUUAGUCUAUCAUCAAUCCCAUUAUGAGAAUUCCUAUACCCUCUCUCUCUAAGGCAUAUCUCUCUAGAGCCACUAUCUUAGAACUCUAAGAUUUG